CGGCAGGCUUAACACAUGCAAGUCGAGGGGCAGCGGGGAGGAAGCUUGCUUUCUCCGCCGGCGACCGGCGCACGGGUGAGUAACACGUAUGCAACCUGCCCCUGUCAGGGGGACAACCCGCCGAAAGGCGGGCUAAACCCGCGUACAUGCCACCGGGGCAUCCCGGAGGCAGGAAAGGCUUCGGCCGGACAGGGAUGGGCAUGCGGCGCAUUAGGCAGUAGGCGGGGCAACGGCCCACCUAACCGACGAUGCGUAGGGGUUCUGAGAGGAAGGUCCCCCACACUGGUACUGAGACACGGACCAGACUCCUACGGGAGGCAGCAGUGAGGAAUAUUGGUCAAUGGUCGGGAGACUGAACCAGCCAAGCCGCGUGAGGGAGGAAGGUACAGAGUAUCGUAAACCUCUUUUGUCAGGGAACAAAGGCGGGGACGUGUCCCCGGAUGAGUGUACCUGAAGAAAAAGCAUCGGCUAACUCCGUGCCAGCAGCCGCGGUAAUACGGAGGAUGCGAGCGUUAUCCGGAUUUAUUGGGUUUAAAGGGUGCGCAGGCGGUCUGUUAAGUCAGCGGUCAAAGCCCGGGGCUCAACCCCGGCCCGCCGUUGAAACUGGCAGUCUCGAGUUGGAGAGAAGUAUGCGGAAUGCGCGGUGUAGCGGUGAAAUGCAUAGAUAUCGCGCAGAACUCCGAUUGCGAAGGCAGCAUGCCGGCUCCACACUGACGCUGAGGCACGAAAGCGUGGGUAUCGAACAGGAUUAGAUACCCUGGUAGUCCACGCAGUAAACGAUGAAUGCUGGCUGUCCGGGGGGAUUGACCCCUGGGUGGCGAAGCGAAAGCGAUAAGCAUUCCACCUGGGGAGUACGCCGGCAACGGUGAAACUCAAAGGAAUUGACGGGGGCCCGCACAAGCGGAGGAACAUGUGGUUUAAUUCGAUGAUACGCGAGGAACCUUACCCGGGCUCAAACGGGGAGUGACUCAGGCAGAGACGCCUGUUUCCCACGGGACACUCCCCGAGGUGCUGCAUGGUUGUCGUCAGCUCGUGCCGUGAGGUGUCGGCUUAAGUGCCAUAACGAGCGCAACCCCCGCGUGCAGUUGCUAACAGAUAACGCUGAGGACUCUGCACGGACUGCCGGCGCAAGCCGCGAGGAAGGCGGGGAUGACGUCAAAUCAGCACGGCCCUUACGUCCGGGGCGACACACGUGUUACAAUGGGUGGUACAGCGGGAAGCCAGGCGGCGACGCCGAGCGGAACCCGAAAUCCACUCUCAGUUCGGAUCGGAGUCUGCAACCCGACUCCGUGAAGCUGGAUUCGCUAGUAAUCGCGCAUCAGCCAUGGCGCGGUGAAUACGUUCCCGGGCCUUGUACACACCGCCCGUCAAGCCAUGGGAGCCGAGGGCGCUUGAAGUGCGUCGCCGCGAGGCGCGCCCUAGAGCGAAAUCGGUGACUGGGGCUAAGUCAUAACA
rnacentral:rRNA from 1 species